GGCCUAACACAUGCAAGUCGAGCGGAAACGAGUUAUCUGAACCUUCGGGGAACGAUAACGGCGUCGAGCGGCGGACGGGUGAGUAAUGCCUGGGAAAUUGCCCUGAUGUGGGGGAUAACCAUUGGGAACGAUGGCUAAUACCGCAUAAUAGCUUCGGCUCAAAGAGGGGGACCUUCGGGCCUCUCGCGUCAGGAUAUGCCCAGGUGGGAUUAGCUAGUUGGUGAGGUAAUGGCUCACCAAGGCGACGAUCCCUAGCUGGUCUGAGAGGAUGAUCAGCCACACUGGAACUGAGACACGGUCCAGACUCCUACGGGAGGCAGCAGUGGGGAAUAUUGCACAAUGGGCGCAAGCCUGAUGCAGCCAUGCCGCGUGUAUGAAGAAGGCCUUCGGGUUGUAAAGUACUUUCAGCAGUGAGGAAGGUGGUAGUGUUAAUAGCACUAUCAUUUGACGUUAGCUGCAGAAGAAGCACCGGCUAACUCCGUGCCAGCAGCCGCGGUAAUACGGAGGGUGCGAGCGUUAAUCGGAAUUACUGGGCGUAAAGCGCAUGCAGGUGGUUUGUUAAGUCAGGUGUGAAAGCCCGGGGCUCAACCUCGGAAUUGCAUUUGAAACUGGCAGACUAGAGUACUGUAGAGGGGGGUAGAAUUUCAGGUGUAGCGGUGAAAUGCGUAGAGAUCUGAAGGAAUACCGGUGGCGAAGGCGGCCCCCUGUACAGAUACUGACACUCAGAUGCGAAAGCGUGGGGAGCAAACA
rnacentral:rRNA from 1 species